rnacentral:rRNA from 1 species
UACGAAGGGGGGCUAGCGUUGCUCGGAAUCACUGGGCGUAAAGCGCACGUAGGCGGAUUGUUAAGUCAGGGGUGAAAUCCUGGAGCUCAACUCCAGAACUGCCUUUGAUACUGGCGAUCUUGAGUCCGGGGAGAGGUGAGUGGAACUGCGAGUGUAGAGGUGAAAUUCGUAGAUAUUCGCAAGAACACCAGUGGCGAAGGCGGCUCACUGGCCCGGUACUGACGCUGAGGUGCGAAAGCGUGGGGAGCAAA